rnacentral:rRNA from 1 species
AUUGAACGCUGGCGGCAGGCCUAACACAUGCAAGUCGAGCGCGCGGCGGACGGGUGAGUAAUGUAUGGGGACUGCCCGAUAGAGGGGGAAAACUACUGGAAACGGUGGCUAAUACCGCAUAGUCUCGGAUAGCCCACAUGGGAUUAGCUAGUAGGUAAGGUAAUGGCUUACCUAGGCGACGAUCACUCGCUGGUCUGAGAGGAUGAUCAGCCCAACUGGGACUGAGACACGGCCCAGACUCCUACGGAGGCAGCAGUGGGGAAUAUUGCACAAUGGGCGCAAGCCUGAUGCAGCCAUGCCGCGUGUAUGAAGAAGGCCCUAGGGUUGUAAAGUACUUUCAGUCGGGAGGCGUUACCGACAGAAGAAGCACCGGCUAACUCCGUGCCAGCAGCCGCGGUAAUUC